rnacentral:rRNA from 1 species
AUGAUGAAUCACGUUAUCAAUAUGGGAAAUCACCGUGAACCAUACCAACCGCAUUCCAAGUUGUUUGAACUACAGAAGACACAUCCUCCAACGUUCGCUCACACUGAUAGGCCGCUUGAGGCCGAUGAUUGGCUUCGAGACAUCGAGAGGAAAUUAAUUAUUGCCCAAUGCUCAGACCGUGAGAAGGUGCUUUAUGCACCUCACUACCUCACUGGAGCAGCUGCAGCAUGGUGGGAAAUUUUUCUACACAUGCACCCCAAUGAACAUAACAUCACCUGGGAAGAGUUUAAGGAAGGUUUUCGUGGGGCGCACAUUCCCAGGAGCAUUAUAAAGAUCAAGAAAAGGGAGUUUGAUGACCUCAAGCAGAGAGGCAUGACAGUGACUGAGUACAAUAGUCAGUUUACUCAACUAUCUCGUUAUGCCUACGAUGAGCAUAUGACUGAGAAUAAAAGGAUGGAAAGAUUUUUGGACGGUCUGGCGCCAGCACUUAAAUGCCAACUGGUCAUACACACAUUUCCAGAUUUCAAAACACUGGUUGACAAGGCUAUUACAUUGGAGAAUGAGCGCCGCAGUCUGGAGGUAUUCGCAAGCGAAAAAGGGAUAAGACUACUUAUGCUCGCAACAACCGGAGCAAGACUGAUAUUCAGAGGAAUGGAGCAAGCAAAUCCACGACCAACGUUCUAA